GACGAACGCUGGCGGCGUGCUUAACACAUGCAAGUCGAGCGGUAAGGCUCCUUCGGGAGUACACGAGCGGCGAACGGGUGAGUAACACGUGAGCAAUCUGCCCUCCACACUGGGAUACCCCCCGGAAACGGGAGCUAAUACCGGAUACGACCACUUCAGGCAUCUGAUGGUGGUGGAAAGUUCCGGCGGUGGAGGAUGAGCUCGCGGCCUAUCAGCUUGUUGGUGGGGUAACGGCCCACCAAGGCUUCGACGGGUAGCCGGCCUGAGAGGGUGACCGGCCACACUGGGACUGAGACACGGCCCAGACUCCUACGGGAGGCAGCAGUGGGGAAUAUUGGACAAUGGGCGAAAGCCUGAUCCAGCAACGCCGCGUGAGGGAUGACUGCCUUCGGGUUGUAAACCUCUUUCAUCCAUGACGAAGCGCAAGUGACGGUAAUGGAAGAAGAAGCACCGGCCAACUACGUGCCAGCAGCCGCGGUAAAAC
rnacentral:rRNA from 1 species